AUGGUGGUAACGGGUAACGGGGUGUUAGGGCACGACACCGGAGAGGGAGCCUGAGAAACGGCUACCACAUCCAAGGAUGGCAGCAGGCGCGCAAAUUACCCAAUCCCGACACGGGGAGGUAGUGACAAUAAAUAACAAUACGGGGUCCUUUAGGGUUUCGUAAUUGGAAUGAGUACAAUUUAAAUCUCUUAACGAGGAACAAUUGGAGGGCAAGUCUGGUGCCAGCAGCCGCGGUAAUUCCAGCUCCAAUAGCGUAUAUUAAAGUUGUUGCAGUUAAAAAGCUCGUAGUUGAAUUUCGGGAUCAGUACGCCGGUCGUGCCUUCGGUAUGCACUGGUGUCACUGGUUUCUCCCUUCUGAAGAACCAUCAUGCCAUUCAGUUGGUGUGGCGGGGAAUCAGGACUGUUACUUUGAAAAAAUUAGAGUGUUUAAAGCAGGCUCGCGCUUGAAUACAUUAGCAUGGAAUAAUGAAGUAGGACGUUUGACCCUAUUUUGUUGGUUUCUAGGAUCGACGUAAUGAUUAAUAGGGAUAGUUGGGGGCAUUAGUAUUCAAUUGUCAGAGGUGAAAUUCUUGGAUUUAUUGAAGACUAACUACUGCGAAAGCAUUUGCCAAGGAUGUUUUCAUUAAUCAAGAACGAAAGUUAGGGGAUCGAAGACGAUCAGAUACCGUCGUAGUCUUAACCAUAAACUAUGCCGA
rnacentral:rRNA from 1 species